AUGGCCGCCGCCGCCGCCGAGCCCUCCUCCGCCGACAGCCGCCGCUACGUCGUCGGCUACGCGCUCGCGCCCAAGAAGCAGAACAGCUUCAUCAAGCCCUCGCUCAUCUCCCGCGCGGCGGCGCGCGGCGUCGACCUCGUCCCCGUCGACGACGCGCGGCCCCUCGCCGACCAGGGCCCCUUCGACCUCGUCAUCCACAAGCUCUACGGCCACGACUGGCGCGCCCAGCUCCAGGCCUUCUCCGCCCGCUACCCCUCCGUCCCCGUCGUCGACCCGCCCCACGCCAUCGACCGCCUCCACAACCGCAUCUCCAUGCUCCAGGUCGUCUCCGAGCUCGACGUCCCGCUCUCCGACGCCGCCUCCGCCUCCGCUGACGGCGAAGGCCACCGCCACACCUUCGGCAUCCCCAGCCAGGUCGUCGUCUACGACGCCGCCGCGCUCGCCGACUCGGGCCUCCUCGCCGCGCUCCGCUUCCCGCUCAUCGCCAAGCCCCUCGUCGCCGACGGCAGCGCCAAGUCGCACAAGAUGUCCCUCGUCUACCACCGAGAGGGGCUCCGCAAGCUCCGCCCGCCGCUCGUCCUGCAGGAGUUCGUCAACCACGGGGGCGUCAUCUUCAAGGUUUACGUCGUCGGCGGCCACGUCACCUGCGUCAAGCGCCGCAGCCUACCGGACGUCUCGAAGGAGAUCCUCGAGGACGCCGCCGCCGAGGGCACCAUCUCCUUCUCGCAGGUAUCCAAUCUCCCCAAUCAGCGCACGGCCGAGGAGUACUACGAGGACAUGCGGCUCGAGGACGCCGUCAUGCCGCCCACUGAUUUCGUCAACGAGAUCGCAGGCGGGCUCCGCCGUGCCCUGGGCCUGCAGCUCUUCAACUUCGACAUGAUCCGGGAUGUUCGUGCCGGGGACCGGUAUCUCGUCAUUGACAUCAACUACUUCCCCGGUUACGCGAAGAUGCCCGGCUACGAAAUUGUCCUUACUAAUUUCUUCUGGGAUAUGGUUCACAAGGACGACGUGGCCCUCAAGGAGGAGGAGGAGCAGAGCAAUCAUGCUGUUGUGAAAUGA
rnacentral:rRNA from 1 species